AAACAUAAAUAACACAAGUAUAAUUUAAUAAAAUAAAUAAAAGAAACCAACCGAAGUCACAAAACGAUUUAAAGUUACAUGAAUCAAACAAUUACAGAAAGUCCAUCCUUCAUAACCUAAUCUAAAGAGGUUUUGUUACGUAUAAUGUCUAAACAUAUAUUAUUACAUAUGAAUAAACAAACAUAAGAAAAGAUCAUUAGUGAUGAUUUAUCCACUCCAAAAGUGCUCUAGAUCGCUCCAAAUAGCAUUAAUUUGCAUUUUUGCCAUUUUAUGCUUGUCAAAAGGUAUUUUCUCAUUAACAUAUGGGUCAGGUUUAUAUAAGCGCCCAUUUCCCAACAUUUUCUGGAAAGUCGGCCUGUGACGCGAGAAAAUAUCUCGCAAGGCAAGCCUUGACGAGGUUGGUUCUAUUGUUCUUCCUAUCAAUUCUUGUGACGCUGUUUUGAUUUCUUGUGACGCGAUCCUGUACGAGAUCAAACCUGGUCACUUCUUCAGGUGCUUGCGACGCAGCUAUACAACUCACGACACGAGCCAGUGUGAAACUAACCCUGGUCCUUUCUUCAUUUUUCUCUGUUCUUGUGUUUUCAUUAUUUUCUUUUGAAUUCUUAACUAAAUUGCUAUAAAACUAACUACUUCUACUCUAAAUUAACUCUAAAAUAUGACUAUAAAUCCUAUAUAAUUUCAUGUCAUCAGUGCCUAUUGGAAAAUAAUUUUCAGUCAUGGGAGGUUUGUUAUAUCAACUAUAAAUUAUAAAGUAAGAAGGGGUGGCAAGACUCAAGUUUAAUCUAAAGAAUAUUACUGAGUACACACAGUUGAAUCAACUGAUUGAAAGGCGAAGGUGUUUGAAUAUUAGGAAUAAAGUCUUCCAAGGUAGAUAAGAGAAACGUGACGAAGUUUAUUGGGAAGAAAAAUUGACAGGAUUGAAAGAAGCUUAAUGAUUAUAAUUAGCUGGCUGAGGCAGGGUUUCGUAAACAUUUUGCUUUCUAUUUUAUCGUACUAUGGUUAAACUGUUCAUGUGCAACUCUUAUAUUUGUGUCAUAUCAUCUCAUCACUUGAGGACCAAUCAACAAUACAACGUCAAUGGGCAUUUGUGUACACUUAAAAAUCAUUAUCCUGAUAGCCAAACUCGACAUAUAGGGAAAUGAGUUUUUAGGGGAUGAGAUCUCCCCACCAAUGGAAAGUUAGGUGAUGCGAGGAGUUGAUUCUUUCUCAAGGUCACUAACAUAUUAUGUGGGUUGUGAAGAUCUCAAACUGAGUCAAAAUGUAACGAGACUAGAUAAUGAUGCACAAAACACAAAUUCCAGAUUUGUAGCACCACUAGUCGCAAAGAUGGAUGAGGGCAGAGGCACACUCAUCGUGGAGUUGUGCACCAAGGAUGUUGUCAAGUGAUCAUGUUGUAAAUAAGUAUACCAGUAUCGAACGUGGGGCACCUUGAUCCCACAAGCAAGGGAACUUCAUGCACUACCCGCGAAAUUAGCUGAGAAAGAGAUAAUCACCGUAGGCCACAUUAUUUGCGAAUAUGCAUAUUUUUUGCAAUAAAUACUGAGUUCAUGUCCUACAAUUAACACAUUGAGUCAAA
rnacentral:lncRNA from 1 species